rnacentral:rRNA from 1 species
AGCGUAGACGGCAAGGCAAGUCUGAUGUGAAAACCCAGGGCUUAACCCUGGGACUGCAUUGGAAACUGUCUGGCUCGAGUGCCGGAGAGGUAAGCGGAAUUCCUAGUGUAGCGGUGAAAUGCGUAGAUAUUAGAAAGAACACCAGUGGCGAAGGCGGCUUACUGGACGGUAACUGACGUUGAGGCUCGAAAGCGUGGGGAGCAAACA